rnacentral:rRNA from 1 species
UACGAAGGGGGCUAGCGUUGUUCGGAAUCACUGGGCGUAAAGCGCACGUAGGCGGAUGUGCCAGUCAGGGGUGAAAUCCCGGAGCUCAACUCCGGAACUGCCUCUGAUACAGCACGUCUUGAGUUCGAGAGAGGUGGGUGGAAUUCCUAGUGUAGAGGUGAAAAUUCGUAGAUAUUAGGGAAGAACACCGGUGGCGAAGGCGGCCCACUGGAUCGGUACUGACGCUGAGGUGCGAAAGCGUGGGGAGCAAACAGG